rnacentral:rRNA from 1 species
UACGGAGGGAGCUAGCGUUGUUCGGAAUUACUGGGCGUAAAGCGCACGUAGGCGGCUUUGUAAGUUAGAGGUGAAAGCCCGGGGCUCAACUCCGGAAUUGCCUUUAAGACUGCAUCGCUUGAAUCCAGGAGAGGUGAGUGGAAUUCCCCGGUGUAGUGGUGAAAUGCGUAGAUAUCGGGAGGAACACCAGUGGCGAAGGCGACUUCCUGGCCUGUUCUUGACGCUGAGGCGCGAAAGCUAGGGUAGCAAACGGG